GUUCAGGUGGCCGAGCGGUCUAAGGCGCUAGUUUCAGGUACUAGUCUCUUCGGAGGCGAGGGUUCGAAUCCCUUCCUGGACA